CUGAGGCUACAAUUGUCCAUACGCAUAGCCCUAUAAAUAAAAAUAUUCACAAAUAUUUGCAGGGCACCCGCUCAAUUUGGAUCAACCUGUGCAUCACUGGUGCACAUGGGAGGGUGACGCGAGGGGUAACCAACCGGUCGCAAUCAUCUACUUCACCACUAGAUGCCACUAAAUCCUAACAUGCUGGACCUUUUUGUAGUUUAAAAGAAAUGCCACCACAAACUUAUUACGAUGAUGCAUAUUUAAAGACUGAGCAUAUCUUGAGUUUGAGGUACUUGUACUGCACAGUACUGGGUACACAAUAUUGUGCAUGAACUGUUGUAGUCAGUGCACACACACACACACACACACACACACACACACACAUAUGACACAAGGAAACCACCCGUGCAUGCUGUAGGGACCCCUGGCUCCCUUUUUAAAUGUCCCCUGCAGGUCCCCGAGCCCGAGGUUCGGAUCAUCCAGCAGGGUCAUAUGAGGGGAACGAACCGUUUUGUGGUUAGUACUGAAGAAAAGGGAGGAGGAGGUGGAGGAGGAGGUGGAGGAGGAGAGCAGGUCUGCUUGGGCGGGGUUUCCCUCUUAUUACAAGUCUGCACAGAAGAGGAGCGGAGCUGGGGAGAAGGACGGACCGUCUCCGGGCUGCAUGGGAAUGUCGAGGACUCCACAUUUUAUUUUUAUUUUAUUUUUCCUCGGUUUCUCUCUCGCAUGAUUUUUUCUGCAUCAUUCCCCCCCGGACCACAUACUGGCUGAGGUAGUAGUUUGUGCUGUUGGUUGGGUUGUGACACUGCCCGCUAUGGAGAUGACUGCGCAAGCUACUGCCUUGCUAGUGCUGGUGCCUCCACUUCAACCGAGAGGAGAGAGAGAGAGAGCGAGGAGAGGGGGAAAAAAAGCCCGUGCGCUGAGCGCUCUUAGGCGGGUUGAACAGCAGCGCUUCACCUUAAAGAGACGAGCAUCUCGCUUGCAAAGCCCACUCAGCAUCUCCCUCAGAUCUGUCCACGGGUGGGGUGGGAGUGCUGCAACCUUGGAAAAACAAGCCACCCACAGGAAUGACUGUGUCAUCAUUGCCGUCAUCCAAUCUGGACCACACACACACACACACACACACGUGUGGAGAGUAGGAGUGGAGUGCCAGAUCAAUGCUGGCCUGACUGGAGGAGGAUGCGGCGCUGGUCCUGUGGGGACCAGAUGGCCCUCCAGCUCCUGCAGAGGACCCAGAAGUGUGAGACUCCCACGAUAGCCCUUUAUGAUCGUCUUAAGUGUGUGUGUCAAGGUUUUCAUAGAGAUAUCUGUGUGUGUGUGAUGAGCUCAUAUCCUAAUCUUAAAAAGAUGAAUUGGAAAAAAGUGAGUUAUAAAAGUGAUUGUUUACAA